AUCCUGGCUCAGGACGAACGCUGGCGGCGUGCUUAACACAUGCAAGUCGAACGAUGAAGCCCUUCGGGGUGGAUUAGUGGCGAACGGGUGAGUAACACGUGGGCAAUCUGCCCUUCACUCUGGGACAAGCCCUGGAAACGGGGUCUAAUACCGGAUAACACUCUGUCCCGCAUGGGACGGGGUUAAAAGCUCCGGCGGUGAAGGAUGAGCCCGCGGCCUAUCAGCUUGUUGGUGGGGUAAUGGCCUACCAAGGCGACGACGGGUAGCCGGCCUGAGAGGGCGACCGGCCACACUGGGACUGAGACACGGCCCAGACUCCUACGGGAGGCAGCAGUGGGGAAUAUUGCACAAUGGGCGAAAGCCUGAUGCAGCGACGCCGCGUGAGGGAUGACGGCCUUCGGGUUGUAAACCUCUUUCAGCAGGGAAGAAGCGAAAGUGACGGUACCUGCAGAAGAAGCGCCGGCUAACUACGUGCCAGCAGCCGCGGUAAUACGUAGGGCGCAAGCGUUGUCCGGAAUUAUUGGGCGUAAAGAGCUCGUAGGCGGCUUGUCACGUCGGAUGUGAAAGCCCGGGGCUUAACCCCGGGUCUGCAUUCGAUACGGGCUAGCUAGAGUGUGGUAGGGGAGAUCGGAAUUCCCUGGUGUAGCGGUGAAAUGCGCAGAUAUCAGGAGGAACACCGGUGGCGAAGGCGGNUNUCUGGGCCAUUAC
rnacentral:rRNA from 1 species